rnacentral:rRNA from 1 species
AUUGAACGCUGGCGGCAGGCCUAACACAUGCAAGUCGAACGAGUGGCGGACGGGUGAGUAAUGUCUGGGAAACUUCCCGAUGGAGGGGGGUAACUACUGGAAAACGUAGCUAAUACCGCAUACCGUGGGAUGUGCCCAGAUGGGAUUAGCUAGUAGGUGGGGUAACGGCUCACCUAGGCGACGAUCCCUAGCGGGUCUGAGAGGAUGACCAGCCACACUGGAACUGAGACACGGCCCAGACUCCUACGGGAGGCAGCAGUGGGGAAUAUUGCACAAUGGGCGAAAGCCUGAUGCAGCCAUGCCGCGUGUAUGAAGAAGGCCUUCGGGUCGUAAAGUACUUUCGGUGAGGAGGCGUUACCCGCAGAAGAAGCACCGGCUAACUCCGUGCCAGCAGCCGCGGUAAUUC